GACGAACGCUGGCGGCGUGCUUAACACAUGCAAGUCGAACGGAAAGGCCCUGCUUUUGUGGGGUGCUCGAGUGGCGAACGGGUGAGUAACACGUGAGUAACCUGCCCUUGACUUUGGGAUAACUUCAGGAAACUGGGGCUAAUACCGGAUAGGAGCUCCUGCUGCAUUGUGGGGGUUGGAAAGUUUCGGCGGUUGGGGAUGGACUCGCGGCUUAUCAGCUUGUUGGUGGGGUAGUGGCUUACCAAGGCUUUGACGGGUAGCCGGCCUGAGAGGGUGACCAGCCACAUUGGGACUGAGCUACGGCCCAGACUCCUACGGGAGGCAGUAGUGGGGAAUAUUGCACAAUGGGCGGAAGCCUGAUACAGCAGCGCCGCGUGCGGGAUGACGGCCUGCGGGUUGUAAACCGCUUUCGCCUGUGACGAAGCGUUAGUGACGGUAAUGGGUAAAGAAGCACCGGCUAACUACGUG
rnacentral:rRNA from 1 species